rnacentral:rRNA from 1 species
GCUUACGGCCAUACCAACCUGGCUAUGCCCGAUCUCGUCUCAUCUCGGAAGCUAAGCAGGUUUGGGCCUGGUUGGUACUUGGAUGGGAGACCGCCUCGGAAUGCCAGGUGCUGUAAGCU